rnacentral:rRNA from 1 species
UACAGAGGGUGCGAGCGUUAAUCGGAAUUACUGGGCGUAAAGCGCGCGUGGGCGGCUUUGCAAGUCGGGUGUGAAAUCCCCAGGCUUAACCUGGGAACUGCAUUCGAGACUGCAUUGCUAGAGUAUGGGAGAGGGAAGUGGAAUUUCCGGUGUAGCGGUGAAAUGCGUAGAUAUCGGAAGGAACAUCAGUGGCGAAAGCGACUUCCUGGACCAAUACUGACGCUCAUGUGCGAAAGCGUGGGGAGCAAACAGG